rnacentral:rRNA from 1 species
UACGGGAGGCAGUAGUGGGGAAUAUUGCACAAUGGGCGCAAGCCUGAUGCAGCCAUGCCGCGUGUAUGAAAAAGGCCUUCGGGUUGUAAAGUACUUUCAGUCGUGAGGAAGGUGUUAAGGUUAAUAACCUUAGCAAUUGACGUUAGCGACAGAAGAAGCACCGGCUAACUCCGUGCCAGCAGCCGCGGUAAUACGGAGGGUGCGAGCGUUAAUCGGAAUUACUGGGCGUAAAGGGCACGCAGGCGGUUAAUUAAGUUGGAUGUGAAAUCCCCGGGCUUAACCUGGGAAUGGCAUUCAAGACUGGUUAGCUAGAGUCUUGUAGAGGGGGGUAGAAUUCCAUGUGUAGCGGUGAAAUGCGUAGAGAUGUGGAGGAAUACCGGUGGCGAAGGCGGCCCCUGGACAAAGACUGACGCUCAUGUGCGAAAGCGUGGGGAGCAAACAGGGAUUAGAUACC